rnacentral:rRNA from 1 species
GAUGAACGCUGGCGGCGUGCCUAAUACAUGCAAGUCGAGCGAACAGAUAAGGAGCUUGCUCCUUUGACGUUAGCGGCGGACGGGUGAGUAACACGUGGGUAACCUACCUAUAAGACUGGAAUAACUCCGGGAAACCGGGCUAAUGCCGGAUAACAUUUAGAACCGCAUGGUUCUAAAGUGAAAAGAUGGUUUUGCUAUCACUUAUAGAUGGACCCGCGCCGUAUUAGCUAGUUGGUAAGGUAACGGCUUACCAAGGCAACGAUACGUAGCCGACCUGAGAGGGUGAUCGGCCACACAGGAACUGAGACACGGUCCAGACUCCUACGGGAGGCAGCAGUAGGGAAUCUUCCGCAAUGGGCGAAAGCCUGACGGAGCAACGCCGCGUGAGUGAUGAAGGUCUUCGGAUCGUAAAACUCUGUUAUUAGGGAAGAACAAAUGUGUAAGUAACUGUGCACGUCUUGACGGUACCUAAUCAGAAAGCCACGGCUAACUACGUG